AAGAAAAAUGAUAAAAAAAAAAAAGCAAGAUUCUUCUUUGUACUGAGAGAAGCAGAGAGAUCGUCCAAUUGAUCUUUGAUUGGCUGUCAACAGAGUCAACGUAAUGUGUCAAAUUCCCUAAGCUUCUGCGUUAUUUAUGUAUUUUUUUUUUAUGCAUGGGAUAUACACUUUGGGAUCCUUGUUUCGAAGGAAUAUUUUUUUCAGAACUGUUUCAAGUAUCACAGUACAACACGAGAUUUUGAAUAUAUUUGCCCUUUCAUUUCGAUCGAUCUUAGUAUUUACAAAAGGAAUUGAAUAAAAAUUACCUCCUUCCUGCCUCGUGAUUCAAUUUGCUUUUCACCCCUGUGAAUCAAGGGAACGUUAAUUAAUGUCUCAUAGAUGUAAUUAGCCAUUUGGGCAUUAAUCUAUUAGAACAGCCAAGUUCAGCAAAGAUUUCGCUAAACGUAUGAGAACGACUAAAAAGCCAAUUGCAAACACAUUAACAACUGAAUGAAGGCUAAAAGCAAAUGCAUAAUGCAAUGGUGGAUUCUGCUUUCAGAUCCCUGUGAUCCUUCUAAUUUGCUUCUCUCGUUAAUAAAUGAGCCCAAAUCCAAAUUCCACAUGUGCAAAUUCGGGGGAAGAAUUAAAAUUAAUUCCACUCAAAUUCUACAAAUUACCUGUCCAAAUUCAGGAAUUAUUAGCCCUCCAUAUCCUCGCACAUUGUUGCAUCAGAAUAUAUAAACAGCCAACAACCUAUCACUUGCUUCAAAAUAAACUAUGAGGUUUCUACCAUCUCCUUCGCCAUAUAACAUUUGAUAUAGAGCCAUUUUAAAUUAAAAGAUCCUCGGUACUACAUAUUAAGAAGUCUUAUAGAGAGGCAAAACGGGAAGUUUAAGGAGUUAUAUUUGCCAAGUCAUAGAGCAAACUAUAGUGGUAUUUCGCCACUGUCUGCUAUCACAACUUUGCUCUUAGGUGUGCCACUCUGUCUGCCUUCAGCUUCAAUCUUAUAGACCACAUCCAUUCCAGAAAGCACCUUUCCAAAUACAACAUGUCUGCCAUCCAACCAGUUAGUUGUCACAGUUGUGAUGAAGAAUUGUGAACCAUUUGUGUCAGGACCAGCAUUUGCCAUUGACAAAAGGCCAGGUCCAGUAUGCUUCAGCUUGAAAUUCUCAUCAGCAAACUUCUCUCCAUAAAUUGAUUCUCCACCUCUUCCAUCACCCAGUGUAAAAUCACCUCCUUGGAUCAUAAAGCUGGGAAUGAUCCUGUGAAACACGCUUCCCUUAUAAUGAAGAGGUUUCCCACUCUUCCCAAUACCUUUUUCCCCUGCAAUGAAGAGACGUGCCAGCUUCUAUAAAGUUAUUCACAAUGGCACUUGAAGACAAGAUCAAGGAAUCAUUUCAUGAAGGGGAUAGCCGCAUUCCACUUAUAUAUUGUCUUUGAUUUCUUCAAACAAAUUGUCCCACAUAAAAAUUCACUGUAGCCAUUUUCCUGUUUUCUCAAUUCUUUCUAAGAAUAUUACAACUAAAAGCAUUUUGUCAAGAUAAAAUACACGUAGGAGAAAUACUAUAAUUAGGCUAACAUUUAUCAAUCGGAUUCAUGCAAGAUCAUGGGUAAAAGAUGUUGAGUCUCAGUGUCUAACAGCAUACCUGUGCACAAUGCUCGGAAAUUUUCUGCAGUUUUAGGAACAGCCUUCCCAAACAGACCCAUGACGAUUCGACCUGAAUAAUGAAAGACAUUUUUAGGACGGAUAUUUGAGGACGAAAUAAUGUGAAAACUUAUAUAAAGAGAAAAAGAAACGGCAACACAUUGCUCCUAGAACAAAAUCUAAACACAAAUGAUUGUGAUGACCUCCAAUAUUUCCAAAUGAACAUAGACUUUUAAUCAAAAUAUCAGAUAUAGGAAAUCGUAAAUCUCUUUGUAUUUAUCAUAAGAGAUGCACAACGUCAUCUUUAACAGAGAAUUUUUCUCUGUUUCUGGAAAGCAUAAACAUUGCAGACUAACAAGUACUUCCAUCUCCAAGAAAGAACAAAAUCACACCGCAUUGAUGGGACAACAGUGAUUAGGUAGACAAUUAAAUAAGACAAGCGAAACAUACCAGCAGGUUUUCCAGCAAUCUCAACAUCAAAGUACACUUUAUGGGUUAUCUCUUUCAAAUCUUCCUUGGAUUUCUUCGCCUUCAAAAGGCAACUCAAUAAGAUUAUACGAUUAUCUCAUAAUGACUACUACUAAUAUGCAAUCGGAAAGAUUGCGAAGUAAAUCUAUAUUAUCUAGUUUGAAGAAAGCAAAAUAAUAAUAAUAAUAA
rnacentral:misc_RNA from 1 species